GAUGAACGCUGGCGGCGUGCCUAAUACAUGCAAGUCGAGCGAACAGACGAGGCGCUUGCUCCUCUGACGUUAGCGGCGGACGGGUGAGUAAAACGUGCAGAACCUACCUCUAAGACUGGGAUAACUUCGGAACACCGGCACUAAGACGGAAAAAAAUAUUAAACCACUGGGAAUACUAGUGAAAGACGGUUAUGCUGUCAUUUAUAUCUGGAUACACGCCUCAUUAGGUAGUUGGUAAGGUAACGGCUUACCAAGGCAACGAUGCGUAGCCGACCUGAGAGGGUGAUCGGCCACACUGGAUCUGAGACACGGUCCAGACUCCUACGGGAGGCAGCAGUAGGGAAUCUUCCGCGAGGGACGAAAGCCUGACGGAGCAACGCCGCGUGAGUGAUGAAGCUCUUCGGAUCGUAAAACUCUGUUAUUAGGGAAGAACAAAUGUGUAAGUAACUAUGCACGUCUUGACGGUACCUAAUCAGAAAGCCACGGCUAACUACGUG
rnacentral:rRNA from 1 species